rnacentral:piRNA from 1 species
UAGGUGUUUGAGAAUCUGUCCAGUUUACAAU